UAACCUGCUACGUUUCUAUUCCCUAAACCUAAUACUUCUUCUUCAUCUUAAAACACAAAGCUCAGCCGCCAUUAUUUCGUAGCAUCAUAAAACUUCAUCAAUCAUCUCUUCCUUUGCUUUUGAUUCAAUCCGCAUUAUUCUGAGAUUUCUUUCAACGGUUCCUCAUUAUUCGUCGAUCACUUGAAUCCUAACGCUUCGGAAUCAUAUACGACCCGUCGAUUGUUCGUACUUCAGAGGCGAACCAGAGUUAGAUUGCUUGUCAAGUUUCACGUGGAAUAACAAGCAGUUUAUGAUUUGAGCAUUGGUCAAUCUCCGUUUCUUCAUUCACGGAGGUUCUUUAUUUAUUUCAGAAUAAGAGAGUCGAACUAUUUUAACUCUUAGACCGCAGUAGUAGUAUUGGAUUAUUUAUGUUUUAGUCGUAUACUUAUAUUUUUAUACUUUUGU